GGCUCAACCCCAGGGGUGCGUUGGAUACUGUGAGGCUAGACGGUCGGAGGGGGUAGCGGAAUUUCCGGAGUAGCGGUGAAAUGCGCAGAUACCGGAAGGAACGCCAAUAGCGAAGGCAGCUACCUGGACGACUUGUGACGCUGAGGCGCGAAAGCGUGGGGAGCAAACCGGAUUAGAUACCCGGGUAGUCCACGCCCUAAACCAUGAGUGCUGGGUGUCCGGCUUCUGCUGGGUGCCGUAGCUAACGCGCUAAGCACUCCGCCUGGGAAGUACGCACGCAAGUGUGAAACUCAAAGGAAUUGACGGGGGCCCGCACAAGCGGUGGAGCAUGUGGUUUAAUUCGAAGCGACGCGAAGAACCUUACCAGGCCUUGACAUGCCCGGAACCCCUCUGAAAGGAGGGGGUGCCCGCAAGGGAGCCGGGACACAGGUGCUGCAUGGCCGUCGUCAGCUCGUGUCGUGAGAUGUUGGGUUAAGUCCCGCAACGAGCGCAACCCCUAUCCCUAGUUGCCAGCAGUUCGGCUGGGCACUCUAUGGAGACUGCCUGCGAAAGCAGGAGGAAGGCGGGGAUGACGUCUGGUCCGCAUGGCCCUUACGGCCUGGGCGACACACGUGCUACAAUGCCAAGGACAGAGCGCUGCUACCUCGCGAGAGGACGCCAAUCGCAAAAACCUUGGCUCAGUUCGGAUUGGAGUCUG
rnacentral:rRNA from 1 species